UACGUAGGGUCCGAGCGUUGUCCGGAAUUACUGGGCGUAAAGAGCUCGUAGGUGGAUAUUUAAGUGGGAUGUGAAAUACCUGAGCUUAACUUGGGUGCUGCAUUCCAAACUGGAUAUCUAGAGUGCAGGAGAGGAAAGUGGAAUUCCUAGUGUAGCGGUGAAAUGCGUAGAGAUUAGGAAGAACACCAGUGGCGAAGGCGACUUUCUGGACUGUAACUGACACUGAGGCUCGAAAGCGUGGGGAGCAAACAGG
rnacentral:rRNA from 1 species